AUGAAAAACCCUAUGAAUUUCAGAGAGAAGAAAGUGAAAAGUACUAAAAGAAUAUCUGAGACAUACCACAAGGUAUCAAGUACUAAAAGAAUAUCUGAGACAUACCACAAGGUAUCCAAGUAGCUGAGUAAAUUGAAUAAAAAUGAUUUUAGGAGUUAUACCUAGGAAGUUUAACCAUUAGAAAUUUCAGAAGUAUGAGUUCAGGAAAUGUAAAAUUUAUGGAAAUAUCCAGUAAUACAGAAGGAGUACAGUAGCACAAUUAACAAUCUGAUGUGUCAUGCUACCAUCAAAAGGAAAUAAACAACAAGUGCACAAUUGCAUCAAGUAAUCUCUA
rnacentral:lncRNA from 1 species